rnacentral:lncRNA from 1 species
AUAGCUGUGAAGCACAGAAUGAAAAGCAACAGCAGAGGGAGGCAUAGGAAUAGGCACAGGACAAAAUCUGUGGAAAGGAGACCUGAAAGCAAAUGCGAGGAAAAGAGAGAGCCUGCCUGACAGAGGGUCAGAGAAAGGUAGGACUGCACAAGUGGAAUGGAUGAUCUUUAAGGUCUUUUUCAACCUGAGCAAUUCUUUGAUUCUACGAUUCUAUGACGGAAAAGGGACUGCACUUGUGAGACACAGUGAAACCCGUCCAUUGCUGGGAUUAACUGAAGGCAGGGCACGGAGCAACUUUGAACUUCUAAGAACUGCAGGGAGGAGGUGAGGGAGUUAGGUUUGAAGACUUUUAUUUGGGCUUCAUUGCUGGUAAAACACUCCGCUCAGGGGAUUUUAACACUGACUUCUGCUCACUGAUUUGGGUACUGGGAGAAAAAAAAAGUCAUUACAAACACUUUGGGAGACAUCUUUCCUUUGCUCAACUCCCUGCCCCGUACAGCCUCUUGUUUUGCCUCAGGUUACAGUCAUCCUAGGUGGGAAGCAGGGCUCUACGUGUGGUGGCUGCUCUCUGCCCUCCUCAGUAGUUACCCUUCAUCCUCCUUGGUGCCACAUGGCCCCAGAGACGUCUUCCUUGUUGACCCCAGAGCUGGAGGGGACGUCUGCCCUCACCUGGAGGGGGAGCCCUGACACUCUCUGAGACUGGCGACUGGCUGCCAAAAUGCCCUGCCUUUGGAAGCACAGGAAAACUGUGCCCCAAUAAGCAUGUCCAAGUCAUACAUUGGGGCAUCUUCUGCAGGACUUUCCUCUUUCACAGAAAACUGAGGUGCGUUACGCUUCCCAGGGAACUUAAAAUCUUCUUUACUACUGACAUUAUUACAUUUCUGCUCACUGCCACUUGUGUACUAAGAAUCCUCUUGCUGGUGUGAAUCGAGACAUAAGGAAUAGACUGUAGGAUCAGCGCAUAAAGCUUGCAGAUGGCUCCUAUAAACACUCACACUUAUCUUCUGUUCCUGACUAUGCAUUAAUCACUAGUUCCAUCUGUCUGCUGUUUCCUUCUGCAUCUUGGGCAUUAUAACUCAUUAGGAGGUAGGGGGGGAAACUCAUCCCAAGCUGCGAUGGUUUUUGCUAAAAACCACAAGGCACUGAACUCAACCCUCAGGAAAACACACGCAUCAGCAUUUUGCUGAUGAUUCCCUUGCAGAAAGAAACGCCUGUUUUAUUUUAAACUCCUGUCAAGGUAGAGAACAGGCUAUUUGAGAGCCUGAGGUAUCGGGCAAGAAAUCCUCACUCCUUAUUUUUCUGCACUUCACAGUGAGAGGGAAUGAUGGCAAGCACAGAAAUCCUGACAGAUUUCACCAUCAUUCUGCUUGGCCUGGAGUCACUUACAGUCCCCAGUGCUUGCCUGCUUACUAUAAAUAACAUCCUGUCAGGGAAAAAAAAAAAGAAAGAAGAAAGAAAGAAAAGAAAGAAAGAAAAGAAUUUUCAGCUUCUUAGUUGCUGGCAAUAGGAAAGUGUUUUCACGCUGUUUGUCAAGUAUUUGAGGCUCUGCCUUAGACUUCUAUAAUAAUUACUAUAAUAAACACAGAUUGGUUGUGGGCUUUGCAAGCCAUCCAGUGAAGGAAGCGCUCAAACAGGCUCAGCUGCAGAAAGGGAGCAAUACAGGCUGAUGUAGUCAGAGAGAAAAGACUACAGGAAAAAAAGUGAGAGUUAAUCAGAAACCCUGAGGGUUUGGGAGGAAAAGAGCUUAUGAGUGAGAGGAAGACAUAUUCUGAUGGAGCACAGCCAAGCACAGUGCCCGUGGGCAAUGGUGAUCCCAAUGAAGUGGUGAGCAUGCUCUCAGACCACAAGAAGAUUCAUCCUUGCUGCUAGCCCACUGGUUCAACUGGAGACAAAGUCAAGCUGAAUAGAGCCCCAGUAUUCUCGAAUACAUAUUCUCUUCACAGUGGACAUCUAAGCUAAUUGUGCCUAUGCAGAAAAUGUGGAAGAAAAAUGAGGCUCUGCUCCUGACUUGACAAAACAGUACUGUUCACGUGGUUAACUUAUAUGUGCGAUUGCCUUCUGCUCAGGCUUUGUUCCUUGUGCCAGGCUCAGCUAUUUGUGCCUUUGGACGCGGGGAAUCCAGCGUUGUCCCAUACAGCAGAGAAUAGAGAUAGAGCAAUACAGCCCAAGGUCAAGAGUGAGGUUUCAAGAGCAGCAGUGUUUCUGUUGUGAAAGGAUAUCAGAGCACGGCACCUUUUCCUGCAGCUGCUGCGUUUUGUUUGCUGCUGAUAAAAAGCCUCUGUGAGAAACAGCAAAUGGACCUGCAGAUCCACCACAGCUUUCAGUGAAAGCAGGAGCUCAAAGUGGUCCUGCUCACUGUUGCUUCUGCACUUCACCUUUCCUUCAUUCAUCCUGCCAGAGGAAUACUGUCAGGUCUCACCUGUGAGUGACUCUGAGGCCUUUUGAUUUCUGGAGGAAAGGCUUAACAACGACAACUAUGAGGCUGCGAUCUGAUAUUAAUCUCUGGAUGUUCAGUACAGAUAAAACAAGAAUUUGUGUACACUAUUCAAUUUUAUGAAGAGCAACACGGUGCCCUUGGCAGAUCCCUGAAUGACCUCUCCAGGCUUAACCAAACAAUAGACCCAGAUUUGUUAAGGUCUGGCAGCACCAUCUUCUAGUAAUGUUUUCUUCUUGUCUGGAAACUAAAGGCUACAUUACUCUGUCAGAGGAAGCUGUGUUUGUUUAAUAUUGCCAGUUCUGUGCUGUCCAGCCCCCUACACCUCAAUCAAUAUCUCAGUUAGUUUUCUUUCUUUUUUCUUCUUUUUUUUCUUUUUUCUCUUGUUUGGGUUCUAUUAUGACCAUACAUUUUACUUGGCACUAAACAUUUUGCAUCAACUCUAAGCAUCUACCAUGUUCCAUCUACCACAGAAACCAGCUUAAAUCAUCAGCAUCUCCUGAAUGCAGUGGUUAUUCUACUCUCUAAAGAAAGUGCCUUUAGUCUAUUAUUUCCAAAUCUACAUGUACAUGUUCAGUUAUAUGUAGGUUUCAAGGAUUAAGAAAGAUGUGAUACUGUGGAAAGAUAAACUAGAGACACAUAUGCCUGAAAGGAACAAUUAUUGCUAAAUUAGCAGCAAGUUUUUGCCAAGGCACAGUCAGUAAAGAAAAGCUGUAUCUGCCAAAAGGACACCUCCCUGGAGCACAUUUGGCUUAGUGAUAACCAGAUCCAUAAGCAAAUGUGACACUGAUGGAUAGCUCGGUUACACCACUGAUGUAAGGAAAGGUAUCAUGUAUUCAAGUGCAGAUACAAGACUAAAACCGAUAUGCCCAGAAGAUUGUAGUGUAAGUACAGAAAAUCAAUGAAUGACUUAAUAUGGUCUACAAAUUUGUUUCUUUUAACCCCUUCUGAACUUGGGGGUGUUUCUGUAGACAGACAAAAGAGUUAAAAGAGGAAAGCCAAGCUAGAAGACACUUCAAGUUGUAGUCUAACUAAAAGGCCUGUGCUUUUUAGUCUUUUUGUUGCCUCAUAUUUGAAAUUAAGUCUUUAUCUGGGGGUGGGGGAGGUACUCAUCUCCUAUUCUCUCUUUGUUGUGUCAAUUUUUUGAGCCCGGGGCUAAAGCCUUCCUUCUCUGCAGACAGAGGGCAGCAUCUAUGCCAUGUGCGCCUGCCCCUCUCCAGAGCAGAGCAAGGGAAGCAAGUGCCUGAGUUGAGUCCUGCAUGUGACAGGGAGCAAGGAUGACUUAAUGAUGUGGUGAAGGAAGCUGGGGAGUGACUAGCUGAUGUGAUGGAGGUGUUUGACUCUUUCUGGGGAAGAGCGCAUGAUUGGGUCAGAACUGCUGGGGGGAGAGAGAGAGAUAUUCACAGGAGCUUUGUGUGAAGUCAGCAGGUAGAGGGAUACUGUCUGUGGCAAGUAAGAGAAAAUUAGGAGAACAUCUGUAAUUGGCACCAGUGAAGUACUGUUGUUUGAAAGUAUGGAUAGUCACAGCAGCAACUGGAGCAGUUUCAUGCUAAUCAUCUGACCCUCUCAGCUCAUUAAAAAGCAGAACUCAAGGCAUAGAGCAGGCAAGAUGCUGAGUAAGACAGCUCAUUACUCAAGUCAGUGGAAGCUGAGUGAGGAGCUGGAAUGAAUUCCAGAGAAGUGACAAAGAGAAGGCAAUUUGCAUGAGGGCAGAUGCACGAGGCACUCGCCUCCCUUAUUAGGAGAAAAUUCUUAUCACUCAAAGAAAAGGGAUUGCAGGAAAUACAGUAGUCAGUCUGCAGUAGUCUGAGACAGUUCUCUGUUCUCACGUGGGGAAGAGUUGCUUUCAUCAGUUACACGUUAUGAAGGCCUUUGUGCAGUGUCACGUGUGGCAGGAUGGCCAAAGAGGAUGAAAGUUGCUUCUAUUAUGGCUCCUGCUACUUUCAUAAGUAGUCUGCCAUUUUUAUAUAUUUCUUUUUACUUCAAAGACUUUGGAUCCACAAGACUCAGUUGUUGGAGGCAGAUCUUCAAAUCCAUGCCUGAAGUAAGGAACACGUGCCCUAAGCAUGGGGAGCUGGAAAUUCAGAAAUGGAAUAAGGAGAAGGCUGUGUGCUGAGAAGAUGGGCUGAAGAAAAGACAGCCACCAGGUUACACACUGCAGGGGGCAUUCCUGAAAUCCCAGUUCUCUCUCCUAAUGCCAGGACAGGUUCCCUUUUCUCACAGGCACCUAACCUGACUUUUGGGUACCCUCCUCUUACCGCUUAGGAGGAACACAGCACAGAUGAAAAUUCAGUGUUCUGGGGACAGAGGAAAGGAGAGAAAGAUGGGGUAGGAAGUGAGUUCCUGUCUUCAUGUCAUUCAAAUCAAGUCCUCUUUUCACUGCAUACUGGUUCAUAUUUUCUCUUGUUUUCCAGUUCCCUUCCUUGGGUGUUGCUUUCUGCAACUGCGAUGUUGGCCUCCUGUGUUAGCCCUCUUGCGCACACUGACCAAUUGCCUGAUCAGGGCCAAAUGACUGCAGACACACACCAAUAUGAUGAGCAGCAAAAUGGCAUCUAUUCACUACUAAGCACAGCUUAUAUACCUUUACUUGAGCUAUCGUGCCCUGUCCUGAUUCGUCCAUACUGGAUCUUAGCCCCUUACUACAAUUCCUUAUUUGGCUCUUAUUGUCUCCUCAUUUCUUCACCUUCUUAUCUUGUUUACUUCGUUAGCAAGGACGGUCUGUCUGAGCACAACAGCACCCUUCCACUGUGCUUAGGGAGAGGCCUAUCGCAUACAGCACAUAUCCCCGUCAAGCGUCUACUACAGCACUUGGGUUUCUUCAUCUUUGCUUCAUGCUUGCUGGUUCAGCUCUAAUAAGAAAACUGAGAGAAUCUUUUUAAUUAUCUUUUCUAUUUUUUUUUUCUAUUUUGCUGUCAGUGUCCUAGCAGACAGAUUUGUGAGCACUUCUAGAGAAGAGUUUAUUUACUCAGGGCAGCCCUUUCAGAAGAGAGACCUGAGUGCAGCUGCCUAAGUCCCAGUCUGUCACCCCAGCAGCUCAACUGCAGAAACCACAUUUCCAGAAGUUCUGUAAACAUUUGAGAAGCUGACCUCGCUCCAAUAAACUUCUGCUGACUUCAGUGUAUCACUUUGUACCAAGAUACAGCUCAUACUUAAAUACAUUUUCUUUGAAGAGUACAUCUGUCAUUGAAAGUCAAUGGAAAGUCAUUGAAGUGGCACCUAAUGGGUGACACGGUCCAAAUUAACACACGUUGGUGUCUUAAUACCUAGCCUUGUUCUAUUUUUUCCUUGGGAGGAACCACACUUUCUCUAUUUAGUUAUUCAUUCAUUUCAGUGGGACCUCUAGUAAUAAAAUCAGCCAUGCAUGUUUCAUGGUUCUGUAAUCAGAGUUUUCUGUUCUGGCUUUAGAAACUGAAUUUGUGAAGUAGUAGCAUAGAGAAGUGACAGUGGAAGAAUACGGGGAACAACAGAAAGGAGGAAUUAAUGUAUUUUUACCUUGAAUCAAGUCCAUCCUGUAAUAAGGGUCCCAAAGCCCAAUUUUUCUUGGUUCUGACCGCUCACAGCAUUUCUCAGCACGACAAACAGAGGCACACUCGAGCUUCUGAUGAUGUGCGCAUUAAACUUCAGGAGACCUACUUGGCCUCUUCUUUGGGAAACGUCUCAAACAGCAGAUGCUGGGCUAGAGUGGGACAAGCUUUGAUUAGAAGAAAGACUCUUUGGAACAUGUAAUAGUGGCAUAAUGAUAUACAAACAGUAGCCACUGUGUUUAUGCCGGUGGAUGGCAGGUGAGUACAGCUCCCAUAGCCUCCAUCUAUCGCAGUGUCACUGCAGCAGGCUCACAUUGGUUUUUCGCUGCAGUUAGCAGCACUGAUGCUGUUGGUUAGCUGGAGAGGCAGCUCAGCAUGCAGAAGCACACACAGCUUGAAGAGGAGCUCUGGAGGUCGUUGGCUCACAUUUCAGGCUCCCUGGCAGGCUGCCUGACAGCAGACUUUUGAUUUCUUUGUGCAGGAAAGCACAGCAGCUUGGCUUUGCAACCUUGGGUUAAGACAAACAUGGCCUGGUGCAGGCAGUGCUCUGCUAACAUGCCAGACACCUCCAGUGCGCUGCGGAGAGGUUUCUGCACACCUCUGGAUCAACAGAUCCAGCAAAAGCAGUGGAAAAACUACUUCAGAGCACUUAGAGGGCUCAGCUUGGCACACAAAGGAGCACAGUUUGCUUACCAAUAGGAAACGUCUGCUUGCUGCCUCCAGGGCAAGCUGCUCAUCCUUGCAUCACUCUGCAAGAAAUGUGGGCAUGCACCUGAGCUCUCCCAUUGCCCCACCAGCCGUGAGCAUCCAGCACAGUAAGGUCACCUCCAGUAAGGCUGAUUUUCAGCGCCACUUCUUUCAUGGAGAGUUUUGAUGUCAGCAAAGGUGAAAUGUUUGUCUUCUGAAACAGAAGCACAGCGUUUCCGUUACAGAUUCUGCUACAGACAAACUCAGUCCCAUCCAUGUCAGUACAUUUGCAUCCCUGCCUGUGGCCUGAAGGCAUACAAAGCAUCAAGUACAGCAGGCCUUCAUGGUAUUCCACGCCACUCUUUUUAGUUAUGUGUGAUUUAUGGCCAGUGACCAAUCCUCCAUACUUGUCUGAACACAGAAUAUUCAUUUCCUACUGAUCAAAGAAAUACCAGCAAAUUUUUGUUUUUCCUCCAGGUCAUGUGACCAAGUCCUCCUUCCUAGCAGGUGGAAAGCAGUUCUGGGCCUGCAGAAGAAUUCUAGCAGCACUCACAUGCCCGGAGAUACCUGGUGAAAGCAACACAGAGGAGAGAGAUUGUCCAAAAGACACUUUUUAGCACAGAAAAAUAAAGGAGAGACCCUUCCAUGUGACCGGCACAUGGGGUUCUACAUCGCCAAACCACUACCACAACGUAAAUGUGGUAACCUGGCAGCUGUCCUACACAGUGGUAACAUUUGUGCAGCAACGUUCAUGGAAAUAUGUAAUAAGCAGUAUUUUAAAAAUGCACUAAAAUAAACAAACAAAUGAGGACAGGCCUUUGAGGGCGGCUUUAGUGCUAUUUCUUUUAUACAGACCUAUACUAGGAAAGUAACGUAAUUUUUUGGCAGAAGCUGUGUUUUUUGAGGGCAGCCAUUAAGCACCUGUUGCCCUCACUGCAGUAAGGCAGAGCUUCCCACCACGAGAUACGGCUUUUCCCACAUGCAGCUCCCAUAGUUUGUCUGCUUUCUAUACUCCAGCACUUACUGUGUGUUUAUCUUUUUGAUAACUCUGACCAAAAAAUUGGCAAGGGACUUCAACUCCAGAGUUAAAUAAAAAUCACUCUUUUACAUACAAUUUUUUAAAGUAGGACCCUUUGCAGUGACUGUGGUCCAACAGAGUACUUAUCUGAGGUUUGUCUCCCUGGGAAUCUCUUUCUGAAAGGAGAGGCAGUCUUGAAAUGACAGGUCAAGGCACACGGACCAGAGCAACAAGCAGAGUACUCAGGGAUAUCCAAACACAUUUGACGUUGGCAUCCACUAACAAGACUGUCAAGCGCCUGUCGAAAUGCAAAUGUUUUUGUUGUGAGGUUUGGCAGUACCUAUGAGCACUGCUGACAGUUUGUUAAAAAUAACCCCAGAAAUGCAUCCUUUCUAGGUCAAAACUGACUAUGAAGCUGAGUGCACUGUAAUUACAGUGCACUAAAUGAGUUACAGCUUGAGCUAAUCACACCCCACUGCACUAAAAGCUGUAAUUACACACAGAGAGAGUGAGCUUGGCAGCAUCUCCUAUAGCAGUCCAUGGCUCUGAGUGAAGUCUGGCACUCAGGUUGCUGCCACCGCUGGCUGGGCCUCUGCUGGGCCAACGCGUGGCUCAACAGGUGGAACGAGCGGAUGUGUGCGCUGAACAGAGUAAAGCACAGUGGUAUUUAACUAGCAAAGAUGUAUAAAGAAAAGCUAAAUGGCAAACUGACUUGAAAACAUGCAGCUAAUGAAAGACAUUUCUCAAGCCCACCAAAGCCGUGCUGGUUUUACGGCAGCAGAACGCUGCCAGGAGCUUUUGUAAUGCAUUGGUGUGACCACAAAGAGAACUCGGGUCUCUGUAUUUUUUCAAGCAUUGCGUAUUCUCCUCUUAUGUCAGAGUAGGUAUCUAAAUGAGUUACUGAAUUUAGGGUUUGACACUUCAUUUUUGAUUUCCUGGUUUCCUGAAAUGUUCACUUUUGCAUUACGAUGACUUUCUGGAAGGGUAUAAAAUACUAUUUUUGGCAAUUUAGCCUUGCACCAUCCAAUCUUUUCAUCACUGAUUAAUAAAUGACUUUGAGUUAUUUGUGGUGCAGCUUCACCAAUGUUAUUGUAGAGAAUGGUUCAAAGAAGUAACCAUAUUAACCUCCAAUAAAAUUCCAGGUCAUAGAAUGGCUUGGGUUGGAAGGACCACAAGGAUCAUCAGGUUCCAGCUCUCCUGCCACAGGCUGGGUUGCCAGCCAGUAGAUCAAGUACUAGAUCACAUCGCCCAGGUCCCCAUCCAUUGUAUUUAAGAACCUCAUUGUCAUCCAUUCUUUACAGAGCGGUAAAGCUGUGAUAAAGGUAAAUAAGAGUGGAGGAGUUGAAUUAAUGUUUAAAAAAAAGAGAGAGAAAAAGAAGACAGAUUGGAGGAAAAUAUUAGAUAGAUAACUGUAUAAGCAACAAAUAUACAGAGUGGUGUGAUUAGGCUGGUAUCUACAGUACAGCUAGAAAGAUUAUCACAUUGGAAAGGAAUAACCAAAAAUAAAUGAAAAUGCUCACCCGUGUUGUAGGCUCACAGAAAAAACUCCAAGAGGAGUGAUCUCCAGAAAGAGAUCCUUCCCCAAUGGCAGAGAGCCCUUAAGUGGGGUCCAGGAGAGGUGCGACCAUGCUAUAUCCCUUCUGGUCACACAGCUGAAUUGCCUUCACCUGUGCUCCCACAGCUGACUCAGUGCUUGCCUCGGCUGAUCAAUCAGAGGUUCAGGCCAUGAUUCAAUGGUUCCCAUACAGAUAACCUUGCAGAGAAAUGGUGUACUGUGUGUAGGUCUGGGCUCCCAGUACAAGAGAGACAGGAAGGUACUGGAGGGAGACCAAUGGAAGGCCACCAAGAUGAUCAAGGGACCGGGGCACUGGCAGAAGCUGCACAGAGAGGCUGCAAUGACUCCUCCUUGGAGAUCUUCAGACGUCACAUGGACAUGGGUCUGGGCACCCUGCUCUGGGAGUCCCUGCUGGGCAGGGGUUGGAGCAGAUGAACAC